rnacentral:misc_RNA from 1 species
AACGCACGAGACCUGCGGACCUGCGGAAGGAUCAUUACCGAGUUAUCCAACUCCCAACCCCUGUGUAUUAUACCUUUAAUUGUUGCUUCGGCGGGACUUCGCGCCCGCCGGGGACCCAAACCUUCUGAAUUUUUUAAUAAGUAUCUUCUGAGUGGUUAAAAAAAUGAAUCAAAACUUUCAACAAUGGAUCUCU